AACGGAGAGUUUGAUUCUGGCUCAGAACGAACGCUGGCGGCGUGGAUAAGACAUGCAAGUCGAGCGAGAUUUCCUUUGGUAGCAAUACCGAAGGAAGUCUAGCGGCGAACGGGUGCUUAACACGUGGGCAACCUGCCGAGAAGUGGGGGAUAGCUCGCCGAAAGGCGAAUUAAUACCGCAUGUGAUUAGAGUGGACAUCCAUUCAAAAUUAAAGUCGGGGCAACCUGACGCUUCUUGUGGGGCCCGCGGCCUAUCAGCUAGUUGGUGAGGUAACGGCUCACCAAGGCGAUGACGGGUAGCUGGUCUGAGAGGACGACCAGCCACACUGGGACUGAGACACGGCCCAGACACCUACGGGUGGCAGCAGUCGAGAAUUUUUCUCAAUGGGGGAAACCCUGAAGGAGCGACGCCGCGUGGAGGAUGAAGGUCUUCGGAUUGUAAACUUCUGUCAUUGGGGAACAAGUCGCUUACGUUAACUGCGUGAGCGUUGAUAGUACCCGAAGAGGAAGAGACGGCUAACUCUGUGCCAGCAGCCGCGGUAAUACAGAGGUCUCAAGCGUUGUUCGGAUUCAUUGGGCGUAAAGGGUGCGUAGGCGGCGCGGUAAGUCGGGUGUGAAAUCUCGGAGCUUAACUCCGAAACUGCAUUCGAUACUGCCGUGCUUGAGGACUGGAG
rnacentral:rRNA from 1 species